AUGGCGGCAGUAGCAGAAGCUGUUCUCCCGCCGCUGCUCCCGACGCCGCCCAGGAGCGAGAUGCUGCCGAUCCUCCCGACGCCGCCCAAGAGCAAGAUGCUGCCGCUGUUGCCGACGCCGCACGGUGUCGUCCUCACCAUGAGCCCCGGACGCGCCGACUCCGUCGAACGCUGGGACAGCAAGAAACUCGCGACCUCCACCAUGUCGUCGUCGUCGUCAUCGUCUUACAACGCCAGGAGCCCUGGACGCGCCGACUCCGUCGAACGCUGGGAUACCAAGAAACUCGCGAGCUCAUGCAGCGCGUUCCCGUCCACAGGUCGCGGCCGCCAUGACGGCAACAACAAGCGCCUGCCUAGCCCUGGCCCUGGCCGCGUGUCCUCGGCAGAGCGCUGGGACUUGCACAAGAAGAAGGCCGUGUUCGCGGGGCCCAGCUUCUACGCCUCGCCAGACCCGAGCAUGCUCCCCAUGCCCUCCUUCUUUCUGCGUGCACAUUAG
rnacentral:rRNA from 1 species